CACACAGAUUGUGGUGGGCAGUGGCUUUAAACAAUGUGAUGGAAGAGAUAAUAACAGAAGGAAGUAGAUUCUGAGCAUUCGCUAGUUGGGAUGAAGAAGAUGUUCCUGGAGAUCGAUGUGAAAACAAGAAGAGCAGAGGGAGAGAAGAGGGGAAAAAUAAGAAAAGUAAUGAGAAGAAGAAAAGGAAGAAGACAACUAUGAAUAUGAUAUGGUGCUCUGAAUGCAUAUAUACAUUAAUGCAGGAUAACAGGCCGUCGUGAUGAAAGAUUUAUGGGACAGUAUUUCUGAAAGGAAUGCAUUUUAAAAAGUACUAAUACCAAUGAGUUAAAAAGGCUUCCCCAAGAUUACGUAUAAUUGACUGACUGCUAAUACAACAUGAUGAUGACGAUGAACACUGUUACUUUGCUUCUUUAUGGUUCUUGCAGCAAUGUGAUCAAGACUAAUUGAUUAAUAUUCACCCCAACUGAAGUAGAUUUAACACUUCAAUCCAGGUUUGGAAAAUUGAAAAUCUCAAGGGAGGUAAAGACUGCUGGACAGAACAAAUGAGUGUAUUUCCAGUACUGCUUGUGGUGAAGAGGAACAGAAAGUGCAACAGAAAUGUUUCGUAUCAGAUUUAAUGACCUGCCCUGUUAACCUCCCCAGUAACCAGACACCCUCUCUGCAAUGUGAUAUCCUCUACUGCCCACUAUCACCUAAGGCCAAAUUCCACCAGAGACCCCAAUAAUGAUCACUUUCUCGCCACCCUCCCCCACCCAAGUUUCUCACCAUCUAUCUCCUCUAUUGAUAUCUGUUAGUUGCACAUAUUUUCCGAUCAACUUGUUUAGAGAUGUCAUUUCACACCUUUGGAGUAGAUGGGACUUGAACACAGGGCUUCUGGCUCAGAGGUAGGGAAAUUGCAAUGUCACCAAAAACUCCACGCCUAUUAAUUACAGAUAUUUUCUAAUCAUUACUAUACAUUAAGUAUACACAACUGGUGAGUAUUGACUGGGGAUGCUGUAGCAUAUAUAGAGACAAGGGAUCUCGCGAUGCAAGGGUAGCGUCCUUAUUCCUGGAUCAGAAAUUCCAUAAUCAAGCCCCAACUGCCACAAAGAUGUGCAAAACAGGUCGAAAAAUGUUGAUUAACAAAAAUAUAAAGAAAGACAUACUAGAAGUGUGAUGUUGCCAAGUUAGAAGAUAACCGCUUGUAACAUUUCACUUUGUAAAUAAAUAUAAGAUGAAGUAAAUAUUGGCUUGAAUAUUGUUCUUCAAUGAAUGGCCUUCCAGAAUAGUAUAGAUCUCCUUCAGACACCUACCUCUCCAGAUUCCCCCAAAUGUUCUUCAUAAAUAAUGGGAUUUUAACAUAUGGGAAUGUAGCAUAUAGUCAAUAAAGACUUAAGUCUGAGUUAGAACUAGCUUCAAAACAGAUCAAGACCCAAUAGAACACAUGUCUGAGAAUGGCCUCGCAUUUGCACAGAUAUUGUUCAAAUUGAUUCUUAUGAUCAGUCAUGACUUCAUCAAUCCUCUUGGACACAUGUUCAAAUUUACUUAACUUUUCAUCCACACAGCCCAAACCAUUACCCAGAACAGAAUUUCACUGUACAGUUAAAUCUGUUCUGGCAAUCAUACUGUGUGGAAAUUAGCAAAACAUUCUGGGAAACAUUUGUGAUAUUACUGAGAAGUUCAGGUUCAUUAAACUGAUGGAUUUCUGCACGUUCUGAAAUACUGAAAAUGACAGGACAUACAGGUUCCUGGAUGCCUAAAGGUAGAUGUGUUAACUUGUUACCUGAAAUCGUAUCUGGUGUCUACUAUUACCAAAUUAGACAGCAAUUAAGCUGAUUUGAAU